rnacentral:rRNA from 1 species
AUUGAACGCUGGCGGCAGGCUUAACACAUGCAAGUCGAGCGGAGAUGAGGUGCUUGCACCUUAUCUUAGCGGCGGACGGGUGAGUAAUGCUUAGGAAUCUGCCUAUUAGUGGGGGACAACAUUCCGAAAGGAAUGCUAAUACCGCAUACGUCCUACGGGAGAAAGCAGGGGAUCUUCGGACCUUGCGCUAAUAGAUGAGCCUAAGUCGGAUCAGCUAGUUGGUGGGGUAAAGGCCUACCAAGGCGACGAUCUGUAGCGGGUGUGAGAGGAUGAGCCGCCACACUGGGACUGGGACACGGGCCAGACUCCUACGGGGGGCAGCAGUGGGGAAUAUUGGACAAUGGGGGGAACCCUGAUCCAGCCAUGCCGCGUGUGUGAAGAAGGCCUUAUGGUUGUAAAGCACUUUAAGCGAGGAGGAGGCUACUGAGACUAAUACUCUUGGAUAGUGGACGUUACUCGCAGAAUAAGCACCGGCUAACUCUGUGCCAGCAGCCGCCGUAA